CAGUCUCUCAGUGUGGCUGACUUCCUGUGAACUACAGGAUGACAUCACCAAUCAAAUCCCUUCUGGCAGCUCUCAGUCCCCUCCCCACCCUCCUCUGUAUUCUGUCCUUAU